rnacentral:rRNA from 1 species
GGCGAACGGGUGAGUAACACGUAGGCGAUCCACCUUACAGUGGGGAACAACUGCUCGAAAGGGCAGCUAAUACCGCAUAAGGUCUAGCGGGAGCUAGAAGAAAGGGACGCGAGUCCCGCUGAAAGAGGAGCCUGCGGCCGAUUAGCUAGUUGGUGAGGUAACGGCCCACCAAGGCGAUGAUCGGUAGCUGGUCUGAGAGGACGAUCAGCCACACUGGAACUGGGACACGGUCCAGACUCCUACGGGAGGCAGCAGUAAGGAAUAUUGCACAAUGGGGGAAACCCUGAUGCAGCAACGCCGCGUGAGUGACGAAGGCCUUCGGGUUGUAAAACUCUUUUCUGAGGGAUGAGGAAGGACAGUACCUUAGGAAUAAGUCUCGGCUAACUACGUGCCAGCAGCCGCGGUAAAACGUAGGAGGCGAGCGUUAUCCGGAUUUACUGGGCGUAAAGGGCAAGUAGGCGGUGGUUCAAGUUGGGCGUGACAGAUCCUGGCUUAACUGGGAGAGGUCGUUCAAAACUGGAUCACUAGAGGGCAGGAGAGGGGAGCGGAAUUCCUAGUGUAGCGGUGGAAUGCUCAGAUAUUAGGAAGAACACCAGUGGCGAAAGCGGCUUUCUGGCCUGCACCUGACGCUGAAGGGCGAAAGCUAGGGGAGCGAACGGGCUUAGAUACCCCGGUAGUCCUAGC